rnacentral:lncRNA from 1 species
CACAUUUGAAUUCCAGCUCUGACAUUGUGUGAUUGUGGGCAAACGAUUUUAUGAAUGGGAUCGUUUCCUUUCUCCUUAAAAUGAAAACUUGAAAAACAUCAUUCUGUUCUUCUUGGACUGCUACAUCAGAUGACACCUCUCCACUUCUGCCAUAUUGCCUGACUUUAUGGUGACUGACCUAGCCCAUGUAAAUUUAUGACUACUUGUGUCUACCCUGUGCUGUCUUAGCCUA